GUAAUGAUUUAUCAUAUUGUUACAUUCGGUUCAAACUGGUUUGUGUGUGUAGGGGGGUUCGAGGCGUCUAUCCCGACUGGCGGGACCGACACCCCUCACGGUGCACAUGGGGUUGAGAGUGAGGACAAAGAGGGAGACGAGCACAUACCGCACAAGUGCGGCCAGCAUCAAUCCACCCCCCACAAACUCGAUAAUGAUCCUUCCGCAGGUUCACCUACGGAAA
rnacentral:misc_RNA from 1 species